UACGUAGGGUGCAAGCGUUGUCCGGAAUUAUUGGGCGUAAAGAGCUCGUAGGCGGUUUGUCGCGUCUGCUGUGAAAUCCCGAGGCUCAACCUCGGGCCUGCAGUGGGUACGGGCAGACUAGAGUGCGGUAGGGGGAGAUUGGAAUUCCUGGUGUAGCGGUGAAAUGCGCAGAUAUCAGGAGGAACACCGGUGGCGAAGGCGGAUCUCUGGGCCGAUACUGACGCUGAGGAGCGAAAGCGUGGGGAGCGAUCCGG
rnacentral:rRNA from 1 species